CGCGGGAAGGGGGCGUGAGCGGUGCCGGGCCAAAGCGCUUUGGGACGCUGGAAAGCAGUGCUUUCGGAUGUCAGAGUGUUCCCAUUUAGCUGGCUAUGGGAAAGGAAGCCACCCCGAGCAAUAUCACUAGCAGAUCUGAGAAACAUAUGCAGAAGUUUCAGCUUCCUGACUCGUGUGGUGAAAGCCAGUGGGUACAGAGCUAUUAGAAGGAAUUCCUUAGUAAAAAAGAAGAGAAGCUAAGCUGAGAAAGAUGAGCUGAGCUGAUUUGCACAAGGUAACCCGAUUACCACGUGGUAGAGCUAGAAUGUGAGGCUAGUGCAAGUGUUAAAGGAAGAUCCUGAAUUCAGCUUUCCCUUUUAAUGCUAAGGCCCGAGAUGCAAAUGGCAGAUUGUUGACACAUGGAAAAUAGUUGAACCAUCUGAAAGAAAUCUGAAGCUAAGCUUAUAACAACACUCUCCACCAUCCCUAACCUCAAGGUGGAUAUGGAAACUCUUCUAUACAGAAAUUGUAACAACCUCAGAGUGACUGGCGUCUUUGUGAGAGAAAGGAAUGGAGAUUUACACACAGGGAUACAAGAAAAGAGGAAAGAAGGCCAUGUGAAGAUAGAGGCAGAGGUUGGAAUUAUGAUGCUACAGACCCAGGAAUGCCAAGGAUUGCCAGCAACCACCAGAACCUAGAAGGGACAAAAAUGGAUUUCUUCCCUGGAGCCUUUGGAGAAAGCAUGGCCCUGCCAAUACCUUGAUUUCAGACGUCUAGGAACCACAACAGUCAAAUACUACCCAAAGGAAGCCAAUCAGUAAGUUCACCCUGGUCUACCACAGAGGUGGCUUUGUGCAAAUGCAGAGUCCUACUGGGAUAGCUUGUAGUGGAUGGUGAUGGACUAAAUCAACUAAAUCCACUUCUGAGAAAUGCAAACUUGAACUUGUGAAGAGAGCCAGCAGUUGGACAGAGGUAAAAGGUACACAGACCUGAAUCCAUAAGCAGACGCUUGAGGUAGAGAGAGUAUUAGGAAGUUGAUUCUUUGUUGGCAGCAGGGGCAGAAAUGAAGACAGUUCUGUUUAGUACCAGGCCUCAUACCAGUGCUGUAUGUGAGUAUCUCGUUUAAUCUUCACAAUAGUCCACUGAAAUAGUUAAUAUUGCUAUCCCCAUUUUACAUAUGAGGACACUCAGGGUUAGGGAAUUGAGUAACUUGUUAAAGACCCUGAAGUUGGAAGCAGCUGAAUUGGGACUCCCUUGUAGAGCAGUCUAGAAGCAGAGGCAGAACAGCUGAAUCAGCACAAGGAACAGCUGCAACUGAGGUGCAGCUAGAGUCCCUAGGCCACGACAGCUGUGUCUCAAGCCAUCUUCCAGGAUUGUUCUGCUGGGAGACCCAGUUGUGACUUUACCAUCACUGGCUGUGUAUCAUUGUAA